rnacentral:misc_RNA from 1 species
ACUGGCAAAAGGUUACAUGUAGGAGGGAGAUUCUUUCCUAAGUGCGGCGGCGUAGUCGAUACGCAGAAAGAAAGAAAAAAAUUAUAAAAGAGAGAGGAGGCUGUUUUUUUUUUUUUUUUUUUUUUUUUUUUUUUUUAAAUACAAAAGAAAAUAUAGAUAGGUCGGGUGUGAUAGCUUGAGAAGUAGUUGUUGAAAAGGCAGAUUCCUCCUAGGCCCAUUGGCGGAGAUUUUAACCCAUUAGCUCCCCAAACCAUUUCCUCUUAAAUUCACCAAUCCAAUUCCGUGUUUCUUAUUCAUACACCAACCUCUUCUUUAGAUCUCUCUUUUCCCACAAGAUUUACAAGAUGGCAGCAACAUCAGCAGCAA